UAGGGAAUCUUCGGCAAUGGACGGAAGUCUGACCGAGCAACGCCGCGUGAGUGAAGAAGGUUUUCGGAUCGUAAAGCUCUGUUGUUAGAGAAGAACGUUGGUAGGAGUGGAAAAUCUACCAAGUGACGGUAACUAACCAGAAAGGGACGGCUAACUACGUGCCAGCAGCCGCGGUAAUACGUAGGUCCCGAGCGUUGUCCGGAUUUAUUGGGCGUAAAGCGAGCGCAGGCGGUUCUUUAAGUCUGAAGUUAAAGGCAGUGGCUUAACCAUUGUACGCUUUGGAAACUGGAGGACUUGAGUGCAGAAGGGGAGAGUGGAAUUCCAUGUGUAGCGGUGGAAUGCGUAGAUAUAUGGAGGAACACCGGUGGCGAAAGCGGCUCUCUGGUCUGUAACUGACGCUGAGGCUCGAAAGCGGGGGGAGCAAACAGG
rnacentral:rRNA from 1 species